GAUGAACGCUGGCGGUCUGCUUAACACAUGCAAGUCGAACGAACUCUUCGGAGUGAGUGGCGGACGGGUGAGUAACGCGUGAGAAUCUGCCUGUGGGUCGGGGACAACCACUGGAAACGGUGGCUAAUACCGGAUGAGCCGAAAGGUAAAAGAUUUAUUGCCCACAGAUGAGCUCGCGUCUGAUUAGCUAGUUGGUAAGGUAAAAGCGUACCAAGGCGACGAUCAGUAGCUGGUCUGAGAGGAUGAGCAGCCACACUGGGACUGAGACACGGCCCAGACUCCUACGGAGGCAGCAGUGGAAUUUCCAAUGGGCGAAAGCCUGAGAGCAACCGCGU
rnacentral:rRNA from 1 species